CUGUUCUUCUUGAGGAUCAAGGUAUUCGACACAGACUACUGGUUAUACUUCAAAACAUGUUAGCUGCCGACAAAGAAAUAGCUGAAAAGAUCAUUAACACUCAGAUAUUCGAGUGUCUACUUGCACUGCAGAUGGGAAUGGGCACGCAAGGGGGUGUGAUGAAGGAUCUUCUGAACAACUGUAUGGCAGCCGCUAAACACUGGGGACUAAUUCAGAGUAAUCCUGGGGACUACGUUUACACUGCUCCUCAAGAACCGUCUUCUUGAGCUGUCACGUGACCUAACAACCAUCUUCUUGAGCUGUCACGUGACCUAACAACCAUCUUCUUGAGCUGUCACGUGACCUAACAACCGUCUUCUUGAGCUGUCACGUGACCUAACAACCAUCUUCUUGAGCUGUCACGUGACCUAACAACCAUCUUCUUGAGCUGUCACGUGACCUAACAACCGUCUUCUUGAGCUGUCACGUGACCUAACAACCGUCUUCUUGAGCUGUCACGUGACCUAACAACCAUCUUCUUGAGCUGUCACGUGACCUAACAACCAUCUUCUUGAGCUGUCACGUGACCUAACAACCAUCUUCUUGAGCUGUCACGUGACCUAACAACCGUCUUCUUGAGCUGUCACGUGACCUAACAACCAUCUUCUUGAGCUGUCACGUGACCUAACAACCAUCUUCUUGAGCUGUCACGUGACCUAACAACCGUCUUCUUGAGCUGUCACGUGACCUAACAACCGUCUUCUUGAGCUGUCACGUGACCUAACAACCAUCUUCUUGAGCUGUCACGUGACCUAACAACCAUCUUCUUGAGCUGUCACGUGACCUAACAACAAUCUUCUUGAGCUGUCACGUGACCUAACAACAAUCUUCUUGAGCUGUCACGUGACCUAACAACCAUCUUCUUGAGCUGUCACGUGACUUCUUCUUAGCCGCACCUUGCCACUCUCUCGGGGCGAUGUAAUUACUGUUUAUUUAUUGAUGUACAGGGAACUCUGAACUUUAUGCUAUCCUAUUUUCCUUUUAUAAUUUAAUAGCUGGUCUUUUUUAUUUCACGCAACCUUGCUGGCUACUUAGUAAGGGUAGAUGAACAAGACUUUAUAAUUAUAUGUUACAUAAAUCUUCUGAUGCAAUGGAUCUAUAAAUAUUUUUUUUUCGCAGGAAAAAAUAAAUUUAUAUGACAAUGACAUGACGUAAUAUUGUAAUAUGGGAUCCAAAAAUUUGUUGAU